rnacentral:rRNA from 1 species
UACGGGGGGGGGCAAGCGUUGUUCGGAAUUACUGGGCGUAAAGGGCUCGUAGGCGGCCAACUAAGUCGGACGUGAAAUCCCUCAGCUUAACUGGGGAACUGCGUCUGAUACUGGAUGGCUUGGAUUUGGGAGAGGGAUGCGGAAUUCCCGGUGUAGUGGUGGAAUGCGUAGAUAUCGGGAGGAACACCAGUGGCGAAGGCGGCUUCCUGGACCGGUUCUGACACUGAGGAGCGAAAGCGUGGGGAGCGAUCCGG